GCGGCAGCUUACACAUGCAGUCGAGCGGUAACAGGGGGUGCUUGCACCCCGCUGACGAGCGGCGGACGGGUGAGUAAUGCAUAGGAAUCUGCCCAGUAGUGGGGGAUAGCCCGGGGAAACCCGGAUUAAUACCGCAUACGCCCUUUGGGGGAAAGCAGGGGAUCUUCGGACCUUGCGCUAUUGGAUGAGCCUAUGUCGGAUUAGCUAGUUGGUGGGGUAAAGGCCUACCAAGGCGACGAUCCGUAGCUGGUCUGAGAGGAUGAUCAGCCACAUCGGGACUGAGACACGGCCCGAACUCCUACGGGAGGCAGCAGUGGGGAAUAUUGGACAAUGGGGGCAACCCUGAUCCAGCCAUGCCGCGUGUGUGAAGAAGGCUUUCGGGUUGUAAAGCACUUUCAGUGAGGAGGAAAACCUUCUGGUUAAUACCCAUGAGGCUUGACGUUACUCACAGAAGAAGCACCGGCUAACUCCGUGCCAGCAGCCGCGGUAAUACGGAGGGUGCAAGCGUUAAUCGGAAUUACUGGGCGUAAAGCGCGCGUAGGUGGUUUGAUAAGCGAGAUGUGAAAGCCCCGGGCUUAACCUGGGAACGGCAUUUCGAAC
rnacentral:rRNA from 1 species